rnacentral:rRNA from 1 species
AACGAACGCUGGCGGCAGGCCUCAAACAUGCAAGUCUAGGGGGUGUAGCAAUACAUCACCGGCGGACGGGUGCGUAACGCGUGGGAAUGUACCUAUUGGUUCGGAACAACUGAGGGAAACUUCAGCUAAUACCGAAUGUGCCCGAAAGGGGAAAGAUUUAUCGCCAAUGGAUCAGCCCGCGUAGGAUUAGCUAGUUGGUGAGGUAAUGGCUCACCAAGGCUCCGAUCCUUAGCUGUUCUGAGAGGAAGAU